ACACUCCUGCGGGAGGCAGCAGUGGGGAAUAUUGCACAAUGGGCGCAAGCCUGAUGCAGCCAUGCCGCGUGUAUGAAGAAGGCCUUCGGGUUGUAAAGUACUUUCAGCGGGGAGGAAGGCGAUAAGGUUAAUAACCUUGUUGAUUGACGUUACCCGCAGAAGAAGCACCGGCUAACUCCGUGCCAGCAGCCGCGGUAAUACGGAGGGUGCAAGCGUUAAUCGGAAUUACUGGGCGUAAAGCGCACGCAGGCGGUCUGUCAAGUCGGAUGUGAAAUCCCCGGGCUCAACCUGGGAACUGCAUUCGAAACUGGCAGGCUAGAGUCUUGUAGAGGGGGGUAGAAUUCCAGGUGUAGCGGUGAAAUGCGUAGAGAUCUGGAGGAAUACCGGUGGCGAAGGCGGCCCCCUGGACAAAGACUGACGCUCAGGUGCGAAAGCGUGGGGAGCAAACAGGAUUAGAAACCCUUGUAGUCCCAUGA
rnacentral:rRNA from 1 species